CGCCCUCGUAGCUCAGGGGAUAGAGCAUUCCUCUCCUAAAGGAAGGGUCGCAGGUUCGAAUCCUGCCGAGGGCACC
rnacentral:tRNA from 1 species